UAAAUCGAAAGAAUUAUUUCGUGAACAGUGGCAAACCGGGAUUUUGGAAGGUGAAACAGACGAAUAUGGUUCAUACAGCUUCGCCGGUUUCUUGGGUGAGUACAAGACUACAGCUAAAUAUGGCAACAACAUAGUGAAAUCAACAUUCUCUAUUAGUCAAGGUGAAGAAACCAGGAAUUUUAACAUUCAAUUGUAAUAACAUAAGUGAUUUUUAAGAAAUUUAUUGCAAUGGAAGUAUCUAUCUGGUUGACAAUGUAGAACGUUAGAAGAAUUAUUAUGUCAUGAUACACAAUGAAAUUCUACCUAUUAAUGUAUUCAUUCUAAGAUAUAUCAGCAGCUUAGUCGAGCUUUUAGCUGAUGUGUUUCC
rnacentral:lncRNA from 1 species